rnacentral:rRNA from 1 species
GAUGAACGCUGGCGGCGUGCCUAAUACAUGCAAGUCGAGCGAACGGACGAGAAGCUUGCUUCUCUGAUGUUAGCGGCGGACGGGUGAGUAACACGUGGAUAACCUACCUAUAAGACUGGGAUAACUUCGGGACACCGGAGCUAAUACCGGAUAAUAUUUUGAACCGCAUGGUUCAAAAGUGAAAGACGGUCUUGCUGUCACUUAUAGAUGGAUCCGCGCUGCAUUAGCUAGUUGGUAAGGUAACGGCUUACCAAGGCAACGAUGCAUAGCCGACCUGAGAGGGUGACCGGCCACACUGGAACUGAGACCCGGUCCAGACUCCUACGGGAGGCAGCAGUAGGGAAUCUUCCGAAAUGGGCGAAAGCCUGACGGAGCAACGCCGCGUGAGUGAUGAAGGUCUUCGGAUCGUAAAACUCUGUUAUUAGGGAAGAACAUAUGUGUAAGUAACUGUGCACAUCUUGACGGUACCUAAUCAGAAAGCCACGGCUAACUACGUG